UUGCUUUGCUGAUCUCCAAGCCUGGAUUCUCUUUCCUUCGGUCCUAGCCUUAUUUUUCUGUACAUGAAAAAGAAAACAAAAAGAAUAUGAGCUACACUAGCUGAGUAAGUAGACUUCCGCUUCCUUAUCGGAUCAAGCAUAAGUUUUCUAUGAUAAUGCAUCAUUUAGCAAAUAACAAUUAUUGCAAAAAUAAAUAUUUCAUAGAGCAUAUAAUAAAACAAGUUAUAAGCUCAUCAUGCAUGCAUAAAUCAUGUAUAUUUCAUAAUUAUGAAUCGUAAAUCAUUUUCAUCAUGUAUUCAUGUCAUGUUUUAAAAUAUUGCUCACAGACAUUCGUGCUAAGGUCACUAUUAUACCCGUGACAGGGCCAUGUUUCUUAAUCGACAGAGUUCUUAAUUCAUGUGCCAACUUUAUACCCACUGGCAGGGCCAUGUUU
rnacentral:lncRNA from 1 species